rnacentral:rRNA from 1 species
GACGAACGCUGGCGGCGUGCUCAACACAUGCAAGUCGAACGGUAAGGCCCUUCGGGGUACACGAGUGGCGAACGGGAGCGUAACACGAAGACGAUCGACACCGGCCUUCGGGUUAAGCAUGAGAAACUGGGACUAGUACUGGUUAGGACCAGUGCCUGCUGGUGCGUGGGGGGAGAGCGUUGGCGGUGGGGGAUGGGGCCGCGGCCUAUCAGCUUGUUGGUGGGGUGGUGGCGUACCAAGGCGACGACGGGUAGCCGGCCUGAGAGGGUGACCGGCCACACUGGGACUGAGAUACGGCCCAGACUCCUACGGGAGGCAGCAGUGGGGAAUAUUGCACAAUGGGCGGAAGCCUGAUGCAGCGACGCCGCGUGAGGGAUGACGGCCUUCGGGUUGUAAACCUCUUUCGGCUCCGACGAAGCGCAAGUGACGGUAGGGGCAGAAGAAGGACCGGCCAACUACGUGCCAGCAGCCGCCGUAA